rfam:Nippostrongylus brasiliensis genome assembly, scaffold: NBR_scaffold0000920
GUCUCGGUAGCAUAGUGGUUAACGCACAGCGCCGGUUAGGCGCGAGACGCGGGUUCGAAUCCCGCCUGAGAUG